rnacentral:rRNA from 1 species
ACGAACGCUGGCGGCGUGCUUAACCCCUGCCAGUCGCACGGAAAGGCCCUGCUUUUGUGGGGUGCUCGAGUGGCGAACGGGUGAGUAACACGUGAGUAACCUGCCCUUGACUUUGGGAUAACUUCAGGAAACUGGGGCUAAUACCGGAUAGGAGCUCCUGCUGCAUGGUGGGGGUUGGAAAGUUUCGGCGGUUGGGGAUGGACUCGCGGCUUAUCAGCUUGUUGGUGGGGUAGUGGCUUACCAAGGCUUUGACGGGUAGCCGGCCUGAGAGGGUGACCGGCCACAUUGAGACUGAGAUACGGCCCAGACUCCUACGGGAGGCAGCAGUGGGGAAUAUUGCACAAUGGGCGGAAGCCUGAUGCAGCAACGCCGCGUGCGGGAUGACGGCCUUCGGGUUGUAAACCGCUUUCGCCUGUGACGAAGCGUGAGUGACGGUAAUGGGUAAAGAAGCACCGGCUAACUACGUG